GAUGAACGCUGGCGGCGUGCCUAAUACAUGCAAGUCGAGCGAACAGAUGAGGAGCUUGCUCCUCUGACGUUAGCGGCGGACUGGUGAGUAACACGUGGAUAACCUACCUAUAAGACUGGGAUAACUUCGGGAAACCGGAGCUAAUACCGGAUAAUAUAUUGAACCGCAUGGUUCAAUAGUGAAAGACGGUUUUGCUGUCACUUAUAGAUGGAUCCGCGCCGCAUUAGCUAGUUGGUAAGGUAACGGCUUACCAAGGCAACGAUGCGUAGCCGACCUGAGAGGGUGAUCGGCCACACUGGAACUGAGACACGGUCCAGACUCCUACGGGAGGCAGCAGUAGGGAAUCUUCCGCAAUGGGCGAAAGCCUGACGGAGCAACGCCGCGUGAGUGAUGAAGGUCUUCGGAUCGUAAAACUCUGUUAUUAGGGAAGAACAAAUGUGUAAGUAACUAUGCACGUCUUGACGGUACCUAAUCAGAAAGCCACGGCUAACUACGUG
rnacentral:rRNA from 1 species